rnacentral:rRNA from 1 species
CUACGGGUUGCUGCAGUUAGGAAUAAUCUACAAUGCGCGAAAGCGUGAUAGUUUGAGUCAGAGUGCGUUCCAAUUUGGAAUGCUUUUGUGAAAUGUAAAAAGUUUCGCGAAUAAGGACUGGGUAUAGACGAGUGCCAGCCGCCGCGGUAAUACUCGCGGUCCAAGUCGCAGCCAUUUUUAUUGGGUCUAAAACAUCCGUAGCUUGCUUAGUAAGUUCCUUGUGAAAUUUUAUAUCUUAAAUAUGAAGCGCGCAGGGAGUACUGCUAUAGCUAGAGACUGGAAGACGUAAAGAGUAUGUUCAAAGUAGCGGUAAAAUGUAUUAAUCUUGAACAGACUAACAAUAGCGAAGGCACUUUACGAGGACAGUUCUGACAGUAAGGGAUGAAGGCUAGGGGCGCAAAACGGAUUAGAUACCCUAGUAGUC